CGAGUCAGCCGAGAUAAUCGCUGCCUGCAACGAAAAUGCGCAGGGGGAGGAAAGUCCGGGCUCCACAGGGCAGGGUGCCAGCUAACGGCUGGGGGGCGCGAGCCUACGACAAGUGCAGCAGAGAGGAGACCGCCAACUUCGGUUGGUAAGGGUGAAAGGGUGCGGUAAGAGCGCACCGGGCCACUGGUAACAGUUGGUUGCAAGGUAAACUCCACCCGGAGCAAGACCAAAUAGGGUUCCUUAUGGCGUGGCCCACGUUGGAACCGGGUAGGUUGCUUGAGCCAUAGAGCAAUUUAUGGCCUAGACGAAUGAUUAUCCACGACAGAACCCGGCUUACUGGCUGACUCACC
rnacentral:RNase_P_RNA from 1 species